GAAAUGCGAUAAGUAGUGUGAAUUGCAGUAUUAAGUGAAUCAUCGAAUCUUUGAACGCACAUUGCGCCCCUUGGUAUUCCAUGGGGCAUGCCUGUUCGAGCGUCAUUUGUACCCUCAAGCUCUGCUUGGUGUUGGGUGUUUGUCCCGUCUCCGCGCGUGGACUCGCCCCAAAGUGAUUGGCAGCCGGCGUACUGGUCCCGGAGCGCAGCACAUGUCGCGCAAACGAGUGCCUUGGUACGGCGGCGUCCAUAAGCCCCUCUCUCACGCUCUUGACCUCGGAUCAGGUAGGGAUACCCGCUGAACUUAAGC
rnacentral:misc_RNA from 1 species